rnacentral:rRNA from 1 species
GAUGAACGCUGGCGGCGUGCCUAAUACAUGCAAGUCGAGCGAACAGACGAGGAGCUUGCUCCUCUGACGUUAGCGGCGGACGGGUGAGUAACACGUGGAUAACCUACCUAUAAGACUGGGAUAACUUCGGGAAACCGGAGCUAAUACCGGAUAAUAUAUUGAACCGCAUGGUUCAAUAGUGAAAGACGGUUUUGCUGUCACUUAUAGAUGGAUCCGCGCCGCAUUAGCUAGUUGGUAAGGUAACGGCUUACCAAGGCGACGAUGCGUAGCCGACCUGAGAGGGUGAUCGGCCACACUGGAACUGAGACACGGUCCAGACUCCUACGGGAGGCAGCAGUAGGGAAUCUUCCGCAAUGGGCGAAAGCCUGACGGAGCAACGCCGCGCGAGUGAUGAAGGUCUUCGGAUCGUAAAACUCUGUAAUUAGGGAAGAACAAAUGUGUAAGUAACUAUGCACGUCUUGACGGUACCUAAUCAGAAAGCCACGGCUAACUACGUG